rnacentral:rRNA from 1 species
AUUGAACGCUGGCGGCAGGCCUAACACAUGCGAGUCGAGCGGAUGAAGGGAGCUUGCUCCUGGAUUCAGCGGCGGACGGGUGAGUAAUGCCUAGGAAUCUGCCUGGUAGUGGGGGAUAACGUCCGGAAACGGGCGCUAAUACCGCAUACGUCCUGAGGGAGAAAGUGGGGGAUCUUCGGACCUCACGCUAUCAGAUGAGCCUAGGUCGGAUUAGCUAGUUGGUGGGGUAAAGGCCUACCAAGGCGACGAUCCGUAACUGGUCUGAGAUGAUGAUCAGUCACACUGGAACUGAGACACGGUCCAGACUCCUACGGGAGGCAGCAGUGGGGAAUAUUGGACAAUGGGCGAAAGCCUGAUCCAGCCAUGCCGCGUGUGUGAAGAAGGUCUUCGGAUUGUAAAGCACUUUAAGUUGGGAGGAAGGGCAGUAAGUUAAUACCUUGCUGUUUUGACGUUACCAACAGAAUAAGCACCGGCUAACUUCGUG